GCCCGGCUGGCUCAGUCUGUAGAGCAUGAAACUCUUGAUUUGGGGGUUGUGAGUUUGAGCCUCCCGUUGGGUA
rnacentral:tRNA from 1 species